rnacentral:lncRNA from 1 species
AUUUUUUAUGGCCUGCUCAGCAUGAUUCAGUAAGAGACAUUUAGCAAAUAAGAUUGGUAGACUGUUAAGGAUCUUAAACAGUGUCUUAGCUAUUGUGUCACACCAAUGCUUUUUAAACAGGAAAAACAGUAUUCUCCAGCCCUUUUUAUUCAAAAUAUUAGCAGUCUGAAGUUAUGUUAAACAGUUAAUGGUUCUGCUUGUUUGUCUCAGUGAACCCCAGACCUUACACAUGAUAGGCAGGUGCCUUACCCCAGCCAGCUAGAACAUCUAGGAAAAGGGUUGCUACACCACAGAAGUCAAUCCAGGCAACCCAAACCUAGCACCCUCCAUUGGCCUGGCCAGCAGCUGAGCAGUGCAGGUAAGGAGCUUUUAAGGAUGAACACCCUGUUCUUAUCAUCUUCCAUCUAGUGCAAUCUCAGAAGCACGGAGUGCUGUCCCACACUGGGUGAUCCCCAAGCCUGUUCAGACUUGCUUUCUUCUGGGGCAAUGAUCAAGGGCUGGAAGCUAGGAGAUCAAAGCCUGGUUUCUUCUCUUAGUCCCACCUCAGCUCUGCCUAUGAAGCCAUCCCUCCAUCUGACCUCCAAAGAGCAGCCUUUGUUCAUUCCAUGCAGAUGUCCUGAAUGCACACCCUGUGCAAAGGGGCGUAAACUGAGCACUUGUGGUUUCAUCCAGUUCUGGAAGAAGUGGCUGUGCAAUGGAAGGAGCCACUGUGAAUCACCAGAGUGGGGGGAAAAAAUGCAGAUUGAAAUAAACAGAGAGGCAACUGGAAAUGACGAGCAUGAGCAGGCGAUGACUAAGGGACAGAUCAGUGCGUCAGACAAGGAGCUCUUAUGGAGGUGGCUUGGAGGUGGGCAGGAGACCGGAAGAAAGAGCUAUCAUUACACUUUCAUGAUUGUGUGCCCACGUCCACCCAUGCAAAAAAAGGAGGCACUGGCCUCCAUGAUGGUCACAAACCUACUUCCAGUGGUGUAGAGUCCAUCUACAUAGUCUCCCCUUGCCCACACUCUUGACUUCCUACCUGCCCAACGUCUACCAGCUGAAGGUAACCAGGGGAAAUAUACAGUUUGUUCCUUUUUUAAGUUUGUUGGGGUGGGGGCUCAGUGUUUAAGAGCACUGAAUGAAUGUUCUUCUGGAGGUCCUCGGUUCAAUUCCCAGCACCCACAAGUUGGCUCACAACCAUCUCUAGCUGUAGUCCCAGAGAAUCCGACAUCCUCUUCUGGCAUGCAAAUGUCCAUGCAGACAAAAUACUCAUAUGCAUAAAAUUCAUUAACAAAUAAACUUCUAAAACUAAAUAACA